UAACUUAGUGGCGAACGGGUGAGUAACGCGUGAGUAACCUGCCCUGGAGUGGGGGACAACAGUUGGAAACGACUGCUAAUACCGCAUAAGCCCACGAUCCGGCAUCGGAUUGAGGGAAAAGGAUUUAUUCGCUUCAGGAUGGACUCGCGUCCAAUUAGCUAGUUGGUGAGGUAACGGCCCACCAAGGCGACGAUUGGUAGCCGGACUGAGAGGUUGAACGGCCACAUUGGGACUGAGACACGGCCCAGACUCCUACGGGAGGCAGCAGUGGGGGAUAUUGCACAAUGGGGGAAACCCUGAUGCAGCGACGCCGCGUGGAGGAAGAAGGUUUUCGGAUUGUAAACUCCUGUCGUUAGGGACGAUAAUGACGGUACCUAACAAGAAAGCACCGGCUAACUACGUGCCUGCAGCCGCGGUAAAACGUAGGGUGCAAGCGUUGUCCGGAAUUACUGGGUGUAAAGGGAGCGCAGGCGGACCGGCAAGUUGGAAGUGAAAUCCAUGGGCUCAACCCGUGAAUUGCUUUCAAAACUGCUGGCCUUGAGUAGUGCAGAGGUAGGUGGAAUUCCCGGUGUAGCGGUGGAAUGCGUAGAUAUCGGGAGGAACACCAGUGGCGAAGGCGACCUACUGGGCACCAACUGACGCUGAGGCUCGAAAGCAUGGGUAGCAAACAGGAUUAGAUACCCUGGUAGUCCAUGCCGUAAACGAUGAUUACUAGGUGUUGGAGGAUUGACCCCUUCAGUGCCGUAGUUAACACAAUAAGUAAUCCACCUGGGGAGUACGACCGCAAGGUUGAAACUCAAAGGAAUUGACGGGGGCCCGCACAAGCAGUGGAGUAUGUGGUUUAAUUCGAAGCAACGCGAAGAACCUUUCCAGGUCUUGACAUCCGAUGCAUAGUGCAGAGAUGCACGAAGUCCUUCGGGACAUCGAGACAGGUGGUGCAUGGUUGUCGUCAGCUCGUGUCGUGAGAUGUUGGGUUAAGUCCCGCAACGAGCGCAACCCUUAUUGCCAGUUACUACGCAAGAGGACUCUGGCGAGACUGCCGUUGACAAAACGGAGGAAGGUGGGGAUGACGUCAAAUCAUCAUGCCCCUUAUGACCUGGGCUACACACGUACUACAAUGGCGUUUAACAAAGAGAAGCAAGACCGCGAGGUGGAGCAAAACUCAAAAACAACGUCUCAGUUCAGAUUGCAGGCUGCAACUCGCCUGCAUGAAGUCGGAAUUGCUAGUAAUCGCGGAUCAGCAUGCCGCGGUGAAUACGUUCCCGGGCCUUGCACUCACCGCCCGUCA
rnacentral:rRNA from 1 species